UUUGCUUGCGCAACAACUUCCACCUUGCAUACYUCUUCAUUUGUUAGUUAAGGCUUAGUUGCCUUGACGACUUGUGGGUUUCCUGUGUUGACUACCUACUUUAUGGUAUUGCCUUGUUAAUCGUAGUCCCAUUUCGUCUGUUGUCAUACUCAUGACAUUGGAUGAACCCUGAAGCUGUCUCUUUGAACCACAUUGUUAAUGCGUGCAUUGAUGUUGUGGCACAUUGAGCAUUGCUUGGUCUCUUGGAUAUAGAACAUGAUGUGGGCAUUGGGUCUCUUGGGAUCCUUCUUUUGCUCUCAUUUGGUGACCGUGCUUCUCUAAAAAUGACUGACCUUCGCCCGUAUUGGCUCGUACCAGCGGGGUAGGUUUGUCUAAGAGGAGUACUGUUGCUUUUCCAAAAACGACUUGCCUUCGCCCGUCACGGCUAGUACCGGCGGGGUAGGUUUUGUCAUUGAGGAAUGCUACCUGGUUGAUCCU
rnacentral:misc_RNA from 1 species